rnacentral:misc_RNA from 1 species
CACCACUGCAAGAGGGGAAGUUGCUACUGUGAUGAAUUCUGCCAUGUGGCACCAGACUGCCACCCAGACCACAGUGUCCUCUGCAACCCUGGUCAAAGGUGCCUACAUGCUCCUUCUAGCUUUGUUUCCCUGAUGUUCCUUGCCACCUGCUACUCCUCUCUGAGCUACUUUUCCAGGUUCCACAGGGAGAGGUUCAGCUGUCCGUGGUAGACAUGAGGGUAGAGAGUGAGGUGGUUGGGUUCCACUUACCUUUCUAUCAUCUUGCAGUAUGGAUGUCUCUUGACUGGUACCGUGUAGACUUUUGAGGGCACACAGGAGUCUGCAGAGAGAUACUGGGGACAUUGAGCAGCAGCAGUGGGGUUGGGAGGCAGAAAUGAGGACAGGAACAUUUACCUUGUGUUUCUCUCAGCUUCUCAGAUGACCAAGAUGGUGCUGCAGAUGGUGCUGAGGAUGGAGAACCCACCAAGCCCCGCUAGGAGCCACCUAGACUGGAUGCAGAGCAUGGUUCAGCGAGUUCUCCAAACCAGCCUCCCAGGAAUGCCAUUCACCAUGGCUGUGAGGAGAAUAAAGAAGAGAGCCUGACUCCUCUCCUGAGGCCCCUUCCCCACCCUGAGCCAGCAGGAUCCACGGAGCAGAGGUCAUCUGUCCCCAGCUUGGCCCACUGAGGCCAGCAUGGCUGGGCCCAGGAUGCUUGUCUCUCAGCUCCCAUCCUGUGUACUUCCACAUUGGUUU